AUUGAACGCUGGCGGCAUGCCUUACACAUGCAAGUCGAACGGCAGCACGGGAGCAAUCCUGGUGGCGAGUGGCGAACGGGUGAGUAAUAUAUCGGAACGUGCCCAGUCGUGGGGGAUAACGUAGCGAAAGCUACGCUAAUACCGCAUACGAUCUACGGAUGAAAGCGGGGGAUCGCAAGACCUCGCGCGAUUGGAGCGGCCGAUAUCAGAUUAGCUAGUUGGUGGGGUAAAAGCUCACCAAGGCGACGAUCUGUAGCUGGUCUGAGAGGACGACCAGCCACACUGGAACUGAGACACGGUCCAGACUCCUACGGGAGGCAGCAGUGGGGAAUUUUGGACAAUGGGCGCAAGCCUGAUCCAGCAAUGCCGCGUGCAGGAUGAAGGCCUUCGGUUGUAACUGCUUUGUACGGUACGAAACGGUGAGCUCUAAUAAAGACUUGCUAAUGACGGUACCGUAAGAAUAAGCACCGGCUAACUACGU
rnacentral:rRNA from 1 species